CUGUACAUGGCUGUGACCAGGAAAGUGCAGUGCUUUCGACUCCCAGUAAGGUUCUGGGUUCGAUCCCCAGUGUCCACA